AGCUUGCUAAUGGACUCAUGGCGGACGGGUGAGUAACGCGUAAAGAACUUGCCCUUUAGACUGGGAUAACAGAGGGAAACUUCUGAUAAUACUGGAUAAGUUAGUAUAUCGCAUGAUAUGCAAAUGAAAGCUACGGCACUAAAGGAGAGCUUUGCGUCCUAUUAGCUAGUUGGUAAGGUAAGAGCUUACCAAGGCGAUGAUAGGUAGCCGGCCUGAGAGGGUGGACGGCCACAAGGGGACUGAGAUACGGCCCUUACUCCUACGGGAGGCAGCAGUGGGGAAUAUUGGACAAUGGAGGGAACUCUGAUCCAGCAAUUCUGUGUGUGUGAAGAAGGUUUUAGGACUGUAAAACACUUUUAGUAGGGAAGAAAAAAAUGACGGUACCUACAGAAGAAGCAACGGCUAAAUACGUGCCAGCAGCCGCGGUAAUACGUAUGUUGCGAGCGUUAUCCGGAAUUAUUGGGCUUAAAGGGCAUCUAGGCGGUAAGACAAGUUGAAGGUGAAAACCUGUGGCUCAACCAUAGGCUUGCCUACAAAACUGUUGAACUAGAGUACUGGAAAGGUGGGUGGAACUACACGAGUAGAGGUGAAAUUCGUAGAUAUGUGUAGGAAUGCCGAUGAUGAAGAUAACUCACUGGACAGAAACUGACGCUGAAGUGCGAAAGCUAGGGGAGCAAACAGGAUUAGAUACCCUGGUAGUCCUAGCUGUAAA
rnacentral:rRNA from 1 species